GGACACGGCUGGGGCAGCAGCGACGACUGGGGCGCUCUGAUAAACCUUAGUCACAGCUGGGGCGGCCUGGUAGGUCACGCGGGAGACAGCUGGAGCAGCGUAGGUAGCGACAGCUGGAGCAGACUGGUAGGUGGUGACGCGGGACACAGCUGGGGCAGCAGCGACGACUGGGGCGCUCUGGUAAACCUUAGUCACAGCUGGAGCGGCCUGGUAGGUCACGCGGGAGACAGCUGGAGCAG
rnacentral:lncRNA from 1 species